rfam:Legionella waltersii strain ATCC 51914 Lwal_ctg038, whole genome shotgun sequence.
GAGGGUCAGCUUCUCAUAUUCGGUUUACAUGAACUGAUUAUAAACCACCGUAAGCUGCUUUGGUAACGAGCCACGGUAGUGAGCGUUACGGAAAAUGAAUGGGAAUGU